GGGGGAUUUCCGGGGAAAGCCGGAUUAGGAUAACGUUGUCCCUAAUGGGUAAAGUAUGUGAUCUUCUUACCUUGUGCUAGUGGAUGUGCCUAUGUCUUAUUAACUUGUUGGUGGGGAAGCUGCCUACCGCAGCGAUGAUCCGUAGCUGGUCUGAGACGAUGAUCCACCCUGGAACUGAAACACGGCCACUCCUCCUACGGGAGGCAGUGGGGAAUAUUGGACGAUGGAGGCUACCCUGAUCCAAUGUUGCCUGGUGGGUGAAGGACGUUCUCGUUGUACUCUUUUUUGGGUGAAGAUGAUAACCCUGCCACUAAAAUUCGCACGGCUUGACUUUGCUCACACAACAAGCACCGUAUAUAUCCUGGCAGCUGCUCGGAAUUACUGAGGGUGCAGGCCUUGCUCGCAAUUACUGGGCGUAGAGCUCGCAUAGGUGGGCUGAUCAGCGAAAUGUCAUUGCACCCUGCUUAUCUUGAGAACGUCAUGUCCCACUGUAAUCCUAGAUGAUGAUGUAAGAGUGUGGAUUUCCUGUGUAGUAGCUGAGUGCAUAGCUAUAGGCAUGGACCACUCUGACGCAUGCGGCCCUCUGCAUCGAGUAUGACACUGAUG
rnacentral:rRNA from 1 species